GACAUGAAUAAGUGAUUGAGUUUGAUAUUGAUCCAUACUCAUGCACUUAUUCAGGAUGUAGUAUGACUGAGGGAUUGAAUUGUACGGUAACUUGCCACUGAAUGGUAUGUUUGGAUUUGUCCAAUACAUUCCUCAUCUUCCGGGUAGACAUGAUACGUUGCUAGACGUCAAUCAUGUCUUGUGGGUUGAUCGGAUCAAAGAGUUUGAUUAGAUCAAAGCAUCAGAAAGGUUCUGAUUGCUAAGUCAGGUUUAGCACUAAAUUGAACCUAAAUUGGAUUAGAGGUAUUCUAAUCAUGCUAGGUCAACU
rnacentral:lncRNA from 1 species